CCGAUCAACUGCAGCCAUCAUCAUACAGCGAGGAGCUCCGUUAGACGUUCCGACCCGUCGCGUGUGGAUUCUCGGUUUCAGUUGCCGGCUAGCUGUUGAUCCGUACGGUUCAUCCAACGUUCGCGGGUUGCUCUUCGGUGUGUGUUUUCUGUUGUAGUGGGCUGCCUCGAGGGGGAGCAGCCAGGAAUAGAAGGCCUAUAAUUUGUUUAUAUGGUUCUGUGGUCCGGGUGCAGUUCAGUGAGGGAUUGGGUGAGCGUGGCGCGCGCGGUGCGAUUCUUGGAAGCUGGGACGAGUCCGGUGCAGUUUGCUACAGCACUACAUUUUGGGUGUUGCUCCAGUUUCUGCAGUUCAAACAAUCAAGUGCGUUGAGGAAUGAUUAGAAACGCGGGAAGAAAGUGAGACAAGUACAUUGCGUUGGAUGCAGUCGUUGCGUACCAACUUGUAGGUGGUAAGGCAGAUCUGGGCAUCCGUGUGAAGGCGCGUGCUGAUCGAUUCCCCUCUAAGGGCACCCAUGUGUGGUAACUUGAGCGAGUGCAGCGGCAGUGGAUUGUUUACAGUGAACCUGCUCGAGUCCAGCGUAGACUAAUAAUAGCCGCUGUAGCGUAAACAUGUAGCAUCGCUGUCUGAGCAGGAGUGCAUUAUGGAUUGUGGUGUACUUCCGUGUGGAUUUUACGCUUUGAUGAGUUCACCGGUUGGUCGUACGGUUUGCUGUGCAUAAGUUUGGGAUUUUGGAGAAAGAAGAACCAAGUUUGAGAAAAAAAAACGGAACCGAAAAUUGGCGUUUUAGUGCGGUCAAGGGAAGUGUAUUGUUCGGCUCUGUUGUGGUUACGAGAGUGAAGUGAGAACAAACAACAAGCAAUACAGGGAUAUCCUGUCGUUGUUUGCGGUGACUCGGAGCCUGUUACUGCAGAAAACUCCCACGCUGGGCCCCGCCUCGUCCAGCGAGCUGAGCCCGGUUACCAAGGGAGCCACAGUUGCUCCAGAUUGUGAAUUGCAAACAGCAACAACAUCAAAGAGAAGUGUUUCGUGUGAGCCGUCCGGGUUCAGUUCUGCGGCUUGAAGUAUGUUGUUCCAGCACUUGUUCGUGCAAGUUUACUUUUGUGUUUUACACAAUCUCUCAUUGCCCUAGUUCAGCGUUGUCCGCGGAAGUGAGAAGAAGCUGAAUGUGAACCGCCCAGCAGUUGGCCUUUCACCUCAUCAACGAACCCGCUGCGGGUGUUCUAAUUCCCAAGGCCGAGGGAACCCUUUUCGCUUCCCAAUCUGCCGGUAUCCGUGUCUUAUUCAGCGAAACAAUAGAGCUAUUGUCACAUUCACUGUCAUUUUUUUGCGUGCUGCGGUUUUCUCCUCGUUAUCUUGAGUGAUCCUAAUUUGGGACUGAUGAGAACAUCUCUCGAGUGCAUUAAUUAAAAUUGGGCAAAACAAUAGCCCCCAGUGAAACUGAAUUCCUCGGAAUCUUUCGGGCGCAUCGCACCAUCUGGGCGUUAACUGAAGUGAAGGAUUUCUUCAUAAGUCCAAUUAAACAAUAGCAGCGAAACGGAGCAAAUUCCAGCGAAGAAGAUUCGAAACUGACAAAUGUGUUGACGGCUACGUGAUAUAAUCUUCAGGGCACUUCGACUGGAAUUCCUCAUCGCACGGUUUCGCAUUCUUGCAGGACCGGCACAUAAUUACCGCUGAAGGCCGGGAGUUCACUAAUCACUACGACAAACAAUAGCCUUCCAAGCAACCCCUCCACCAUCUGCAGCCUUUCAAUCCACUCAGUGCCGGCACUUGAAUAGGGAACCGCGAUCAACAACUACCCUACACUGCGCGCAAUGGGAUAAUUCAUCAAGCCGCAAUCCGCGCAAGCCCCAAUCAAUCAAUCAAUCAAUCAAUCGACCCCAUCGUCUCCGUCGUCAUCGAGGACCGAUUGAUCCCUUGGACUAUGUGUGCGAUCCUUCGCAUCUAGUAGACAGUGUGCAGCAGCUCGCAGGUGAAGAAGUGAUAAAUCAACAAUCAAAGAGAGACCUGGAACUGGGAGUCACGUACGCAGCAGCACCAGCAGCAUUUGGAAGAAGUAGAUACCGCCCAGCAGUACCAGCAUUAUUGGCGGGGCGUGAUGAUGGAUGGGACCGCACCAUGUUCUGAAGACUUCCUCUGCGGUGCUGCUUCUUGGUACGGCCUGACAAUGGCAAGUGGGAGCCCGUGAAGCUGCAUAAUUUGAUAUUUUUUCCCCCUCUGUGAGUUGUGUGAUCAUUGUAUUUUGCGUUCGCAAGUGAAGAAUUGUUUGUUCGAAAAUAAGAAGGAAUAGGAAGAAGAAAACGCCUGAUUCAGUCAACGAAUAAGUUCGGUGUUUUCGCGCUGUUCUGUCUAGGAGCCAGUGAAAACGACUCCACAAUGUACUGCCUUUGCCGAUCAUCGAAAACCAUCGCGGUGCGGAUCGUUCUGCUGGAUGAGACCGACUUCCUGCACGAA